rnacentral:rRNA from 1 species
ACAGCAGUAGCCGCGGUAAUACGUAGGGUGCGAGCGUUAAUCGGAAUUACUGGGCGUAAAGCGUGCGCAGGCGGUUUUGUAAGACAGGCGUGAAAUCCCCGGGCUCAACCUGGGAAUGGCGCUUGUGACUGCAAAGCUAGAGUGCGGCAGAGGGGGAUGGAAUUCCGCGUGUAGCAGUGAAAUGCGUAGAUAUGCGGAGGAACACCGAUGGCGAAGGCAAUCCCCUGGGCCUGCACUGACGCUCAUGCACGAAAGCGUGGGGAGCAAGCAGGAUUAGAUACCCCAGUAGUCCCUGUCUCUUAUAC